GCGGCCGUGGCGUAAUUGGUAGCCGUGCCAGACUUAGGAUCUGGUGUCGAGAGACGUGUGGGUUCGAGUCCCACCGGCCGCA
rnacentral:tRNA from 1 species